GAUGAACGCUGGCGGCGUGCCUAAUACAUGCAAGUCGAGCGAACGGACGAGAAGCUUGCUUUUCUGAUGUUAGCGGCGGACGGGUGAGUAACACGUGGAUAACCUACCUAUAAGACUGGGAUAACUUCGGGAAACCGGAGCUAAUACCGGAUAAUAUUUUGAACCGCAUGGUUCAAAAGUGAAAGACGGUCUUGCUGUCACUUAUAGAUGGAUCCGCGCUGCAUUAGCUAGUUGGUAAGGUAACGGCUUACCAAGGCAACGAUGCAUAGCCGACCUGAGAGGGUGAUCGGCCACACUGGAACUGAGACACGGUCCAGACUCCUACGGGAGGCAGCAGUAGGGAAUCUUCCGCAAUGGGCGAAAGCCUGACGGAGCAACGCCGCGUGAGUGAUGAAGGUCUUCGGAUCGUAAAACUCUGUUAUUAGGGAAGAACAUAUGUGUAAGUAACUGUGCACAUCUGGACGGUACCUAAUCAGAAAGCCACGGCUAACUACGG
rnacentral:rRNA from 1 species